GCCACCCAACAAGAUCGGAUGAAGGGGAAAGGCCCCUCAGUGGCACCUCCACACUUCUAUGCAACCCCAUGAAAGGCAAGGGGAGGACCCUCACUCCAAAAGGAGGGGAAAAAUUAAAAAGGAAAGCGACAAACUACAUCGAAAACUGAUGAAGGAUAAAUUAUGCCAAAGACGUAAGGAACCUCAUCUUAACAAAGAUGGGAAGUUCCUACCAGGCACCCCCGGCCUC
rnacentral:lncRNA from 1 species